rnacentral:rRNA from 1 species
AUUGAACGCUGGCGGCAUGCCUUACACAUGCAAGUCGAACGGCAGCACGGGAGCAAUCCUGGCGGCGAGUGGCGAACGGGUGGGUAAUGCAUCGGAACGUGCCCAGUCGUGGGGGAUAACGCAGCGAAAGCUGUGCUAAUACCGCAUACGAUCUGUGGAUGAAAGCGGGGGACCGAAAGGCCUCGCGCGAUUGGAGCGGCCGAUGUCAGAUUAGGUAGUUGGUGGGGUAAAGGCUCACCAAGCCAACGAUCUGUAGCUGGUCUGAGAGGACGACCAGCCACACUGGGACUGAGACACGGCCCAGACUCCUACGGGAGGCAGCAGUGGGGAAUUUUGGACAAUGGGCGCAAGCCUGAUCCAGCAAUGCCGCGUGCAGGAAGAAGGCCUUCGGGUUGUAAACUGCUUUUGUACGGAGCGAAAAGGCUCUCUCUAAUACAGGGGGCUCAUGACGGUACCGUAAGAAUAAGCACCGGCUAACUACGUGCCAGCCGCCGCCGUAAGAC